rnacentral:antisense_RNA from 1 species
ACUUCCUCCCAGGCCCUCUAGGGGGAUGGUCAGGCUUCUGCAGAGAUGGGGAGGAUCCUUUCCUGACUGCUUCAGCUGCCAUAACAAAAUAUCACAGACUGGAUGGAUUAAACAACAGAAAUUUAUUUCUCACAGUUCUGGAGGCUGGGAAGUCCAAGAUCAAAGUGCCAGCAAGGUGAAGACACUGACAGUAAGAAAAGGCAAACCACAGGUCCAAGACAAAGUGGUCAAGUCAAGAAGGAACUCAGGCUGUGUAGUCCUGGUGCAAGGCUCCUUGCCCCCAGUGUUGGGUCACACUGGCUGGCUGUGCUCCCAUGACACUUAGUGCAUACUGGGCUCCUGACUUAAUAACACAUGUUUGAAAUGGCCCCUGAUCCCCAAUCUGCUGCAGGAUUCUGCAGAUGCACAAGAGGCUGCAGUGGAAGGUCUUGGAGAGAAUUCAGAGUGGCUUGCCUACGUUCCCAUGACCGUGUGUCCUAAUGGGAGAAUCACCACUUUGGAAAAUUCUUUUGGAGGCCAGGCACGGUGACUCAUGCCUGUAAUCUCAGCACUUUGGGAGGCCGAGGCAGGCAGAUCACCUGAGGUCAGAAGUUCGAGACCAGCCUGGGCAACAUAGUGAAACCCCAUCUCUACUAAAAAUACAAAACUUAGCCUGGCAUGGUGGUGCACACCUGUAGUCCCAGCUACCCGGGAGGCUGAGGCAAGAGAAUUGCUUGAACCUGGGAGGCAGAGAUUUCAGUGAGCCAAGAUUGCACCACUGCACUCCAGUCUGGGCAACAGAGCGAGACUCUGUCUUAAAAAAAAAAUUCUUUUGGGGCUAGCUGUGAAUGAGCAGAGGGAAAGGCAGGAGCCUUCAGGUAGGGAGCAGCAUGAUUCCACCCCAGAUUCAGGCCUCCUGGGUGUACAGAGGGCAGGAGGAUCCUCCCCAGGUAUGUGAGAGGAAGGGAAGAUGAGGUGUUUGGGUCAGGGAACACACUAGAAAUCCAGGUGCUCACUGAUGGAUAGUGCUUGGCAUCUCUGUGUUCUGCCAAUCCAGCCUCAAAGCAACUUUGGAAGAGGAUUUAUGCCCUUCACACGCUUCCAGCCUGGGCCAGAGCAUCUGCGCACUCCCCUGGGUAUAGGCCUCCAGGGCUUGGAGCAAAGGAAGAGCUAAGAAUUGUCAGUGCUCAGGAGGCAGAUUUUCAGGGAGGAUCCUCUUGCAUCUCAGGACAUGGAAAGGGCUAAAAGAGCCUUGAGUAUCCUGUCCCAGUGCUGGGGUCUCAGACGGCCGCUCUGGGGCAUCUCCACCAUGGUCUGACUUCUGCUGCUUGAAACCAUUCUCCCUCAGGGCACAGGCAAGGGUCCUCAAGGAAGAGCACCUGGGCACCUGGGUUGACUCUUCCUCUCUCCAGGUGGAGAGAACCAGUAGAGUUCACCUGGGGUCAUGAUCUGACUUAAUCCCCCUCUGCAUUUCUUUCUCUUCUCAGGGGCCUGGGCUCAGCCUUAACUCAGCCUUCCUCAGUGUCUGGGACUUGGGGUAAACAGUCACCAUCUUCUGCACUGGAAGCAGCAGUGACAUUGAGGGUUCUAACCAUAUCUCUUGGUACCUACAGUGCCCAGGAACUGGCCCCACACUCCUCAUUUAUUAUGGCCAUUCUCAACCCUUAGGGGUCCCAGCUUGAUUUUCAGUCUCUAGGUCUGGCAACACGGCCUUCCUGGCCAUCUUUGGCCUCUAGCCUGAAGAUGGGCCUGACAGUCACUGUUUGUUCUGGGACAGCCAUAGCAUUUUUACCCACAUGUGCUCCAAGUCCAUGGGGAACAGAGACCAAAUCUGCCAUGAGUGACCAGUGUCAUGGGGCUUCACACCAGUCAGGCAGUCAGAUGGUGGUGUUUGCUUUCAUUUCUGCUCAUCAUCCCAAGGGUGUGGACGCUUCAGGAAUGGGACCCUAUGCAACUCUCAUUGCUCUUUAUAAUGAUGUGGGAAAGAGAAACCAUCUCCCAGGGGACUUGGCUUUGCAAAAAUGAAAAUAAAAGCUCCCUCCCUCCCUCUGUGCAGUGAAUGGCCUCUGAAUGCAGACUUGGUCUCCCUCUUCAGUGGCAACGUUAGAGGAAGAACAACAGCUUCUUAUUGCACUGAGACAACUCAGGGGCCACCUCAUUUGAAGGUGUGCAUCAGUGUGAGCCCAGGUAUUCCUGUACUCAGUGAUCGAGGUCUCUCUCCUUAUCUUGUCUCCACCUGAAUCUGACCAAAGUGACCGAGAUGAUCCAGGUUUUAGUUUUCUCUUGCUGUGUAACAAAUUUCUGCAAACCUAGCACCUUAAAAUAACACCCAUUUAUGAUCUCCCAGCUUUCCUGGAUCAGGAGUCUGGGAUCAGCUUAGCUGAGUCAUCUGUUCAGGGUCUUCCCAACCUGAAAUCAGGGCAUUGGCUUGGCUGUGUUUUCAUCUGGAGGCUCAACUGAGGAAGAAUCUGUUUCCAAACUUACUGGCAGAACUCACUUCCUUGCUGCUGUAUGAAGCCAGGGUUUUGGGGGCUAUUUGCCGUCAGUGCCCGUAGCUCCUAGAGUUCCUAGAGGUCACCCACAGCUCAUUUGCCAUUUAAUGUAACCUAAUGAAAAGAGAAAUAUUCCAUCACCUUUGCCAUAUUUAUUGGUUAGAAGCAAAUCACAGGUUCUUCUUGAAUUCAAAUGAAGAGAUUCUGCAAGGGUAUGACUCAUUUGGGGUCACCAUAGGGUACAUCCUCAGUAAUUGUGUGCGGUCAGGACUAGGGGAGGAGAUUCUAAUUAUACAGAGAAGACUUGUGCUUUCUAUUCAGAAUUUAAGAAGACAUCCUUUACUUUUUAAGACACUCUGUCAUUUUAUUCAUUGAUUUUUAGUGGUGUUCUAGAAAGCAGAUUUUCCAAGUGUAAACCACAAUAAUGAAAUGGUAGAGCUGAUGACAGUUCAGAUGCUAUUAGAUGGGUGUGCAGAUCUGGGUUUAGAGCCAAGGGAUGGAGUAGUGUCUCUUGGUUUCCACUGUGGAGAGGCCCCUUGGGAAAACCCACCACCCCCAUUUCUCCUCACUCCCUGCCUGGCCCCAUGGUCUCUGCUUGGUCUGGCCUAUCCUAUUAAAAAUAUACUUCAGUGAUGA